rnacentral:rRNA from 1 species
GAUGAACGCUGGCGGCGUGCCUAAUACAUGCAAGUCGAGCGAACAGACGGGGAGCUUGCUCCUCUGACGUUAGCGGCGGACGGGUGAGUAACACGUGGAUAACCUACCUAUAAGACUGGGAUAACUUCGGGAAACCGGAGCUAAUACCGGAUAAUAUAUUGAACCGCAUGGUUCAAUAGUGAAAGACGGUUUUGCUGUCACAUAUAGAUGGAUCCGCGCCGCAUUAGCUAGUUGGUAAGGUAACGGCUUACCAAGGCAACGAUGCGUAGCCGACCUGAGAGGGUGAUCGGCCACACUGGAACUGAGACACGGUCCAGACUCCUACGGGAGGCAGCAGUAGGGAAUCUUCCGCAAAGGGCGAAAGCCUGACGGAGCAACGCCGCGUGAGUGAUGAAGGUCUUCGGAUCGUAAACCUCUGUUAUUAGGGAAGAACAAAUGUGUAAGUAACUAUGCACGUCUUGACGGUACCUAAUCAGAAAGCCACGGCUAACUACGUG